UACAGAGGGUGCGAGCGUUGUCCGGAAUUACUGGGCGUAAAGGGCGUGUAGGCGGCUGGAUAAGUGGGAUGUUAAAUCCCCCGGCUCAACCGGGGACCUGCAUCUCAUACUGUUCAGCUCGAGCACAUCAGAGGAGACUGGAAUUCCCGGUGUAGCGGUGAAAUGCGUAGAUAUCGAGAGGAACACCUGCGGCGAAGGCGGGUUGCUGGGCUGACACUGACGCUGAGGCGCGAAAGCUAGGGGAGCGAACGGG
rnacentral:rRNA from 1 species